rnacentral:rRNA from 1 species
AUUGAACGCUGGCGGCAGGCCUAAUACAUGCAAGUCGAACGAGUGGCGGACGGGUGAGUAAUGUCUGGGAAACUGCCUGAUGGAGGGGGAUAACUACUGGAAACGGUAGCUAAUACCGCAUACCAUCGGAUUUGCCCAGAUGGGCUUAGCUAUUAGGUGGGGUAAAGGCUCACCUAGGCGACGAUCCCUAGCUGUUCUGAGAGGAUGACCAGCAACAUUGGAACUGAGAACCGGUCCAGCCUCCUCCGGGAGGCAGCAGUGGGGAAUAUUGCACAAGGGGCGCAAGCCUAAUGCAGCCAUGCGGCGUGUAUGAAGAAGGCCUUCGGGUUGUAAGGUAUUUUCAGCGGGGAGGCGUUACCCGCAGAAGAAGCAACGGCUAACUCCGUGCCAGCAGCCGCGGUAAUAC